UGUAUCCUUUGGGCAGAUUCCUAACAGUGCUAUUGUUGGGUCAUAGGGUAGUUCUAUUUUUAAUUGUUUGAGGAACCUCCAGGCUGCUUUCCAGAGUGGCUGCACCAGUUUGCAUUCCCACCAGCAGUGCAAGAGGGUUCCCGUUUCUCCACAUCCUCGCCAGCAUCUAUAGGCUCCUGAUUUGUUCAUUAUAGCCACUCUGACUGGCAUGAGGUUCACCAAGAGCCAGUGCGGUCCUUCCAACCAUGGUCAUCCCUUGGCUCUCAAGGGAGGGACAGCCCAGCGCCAUUUCCUCCAUCCAAAUCUGGCUGCGGUGCCUGAUCCCGCACAACCACAGGCAUCUCCCAGAGGCAUUUUCCGGAAUGCGUGGAUGUUGUGAGUUUGGGUCCAGAACACUGCAAUAAAAUGAAUGCCACUACCAAGCAGCUCAAAUGAAUCCUUUGGAUUCCUAGUGGGAAUGAAAGUUAUCACUUGACUGGAGUCUGCCAUGCGCAAUAGCAUUAUGUUGAAAAAAAUAACAAAAAUACCAUAAUUAAAAAGCACUUUAUGGUUUUUAA